AGAGUUUGAUCAUGGCUCAGAUUGAACGCUGGCGGCAGGCCUAGCACAUGCAAGUCGAGCGGAAACGACAACAUUGACUCUUCGGAUGAUUUGUUGGGCGUCGAGCGGCGGACGGGUGAGUAAUGCCUAGGAAGUUGCCCGGUAGAGGGGGAUAACCAUUGGAAACGAUGGCUAAUACCGCAUAAUCUCUAUGGAGCAAAGCAGGGGACCUUCGGGCCUUGUGCUACCGGAUACGCCUAGGUGGGAUUAGCUAGUUGGUGAGGUAAUGGCUCACCAAGGCGACGAUCCCUAGCUGGUCUGAGAGGAUGAUCAGCCACACUGGAACUGAGACACGGUCCAGACUCCUACGGGAGGCAGCAGUGGGGAAUAUUGCACAAUGGGCGAAAGCCUGAUGCAGUCAUGCCGCGUGUAUGAAGAAGGCCUUCGGGUUGUAAAGUACUUUCAGUUGUGAGGAAGGGGGUAAGCUUAAUACGCUUAUCUCUUGACGUUAGCAACAGAAGAAGCACCGGCUAACUCCGUGCCAGCAGCCGCGGUAAU
rnacentral:rRNA from 1 species